rnacentral:tRNA from 1 species
UCCCUGGUAGUUCAGAUGGUAAAAUGUCUGCUUGCAACGCAGAAGACCUGGGUUUGAUCCCUGGGUUGGGAG